CUAUGGCUUCCUGUGGGGUCCCUGUGGGGUCCUAUGGGGUCCUGUGGGGUCCUGUGGGGUCCUAUGGGGUCCUAUGGGGGACCUAUAGGGUUCUGUGGGGGGCUAUGGGGUCCUAUAGGGUUCUAUGGGGUUCUAUGGGGUCCUAUAGGGUCCUAUGGGGUCCUGUGGGGUUCUAUAGGGUCCUAUGGGGUCCUAUGGGGUUCUAUGGGGUCCUAUGGGGUUCUAUAGGGUUCUAUGGGGUUUAUGGACCCAACACUGCUCCUAUGGGGUCCUAUGGGGUUCUGUAGGGUCCUAUGGGGUCCUAUGGGGUUCUAUGGGGUCCUAUGGGGUUCUAUAGGGUCCUAUGGGGUCCUGUGGGGUCCUAUGGGGUUCUAUAGGGUUCUAUAGGGUUCUAUGGGGUCCUAUAGGGUUCUAUGGGGUCCUGUGGGGUCCUAUAGGGUUCUAUGGGGGUCCUAUGGGGUUCUAUAGGGUCCCUAUGGGGUUCUAUAGGGUCCUAUGGGGUCCUAUAGGGUUCUAUGGGGUUCUAUAGGGUCCUAUGGGGUGCUAUGGGGCUCUAUAGGGUCCUAUGGGGUCCUAUGGGGUCCUAUAGGGUCCCUAUGGGGUUCUAUGGGGUCCCUAUGGGGUCCUGUGGGGUCCUAUGGGUUCUCUGGGGGUCCCAUGGGGUUCUAUGGGGUCCUAUAGGAUCCUAUGAGGUCCUAUGGGGUUCUAUGGGGUCCCUAUGGGGUUUAUAUGGGACCAGGGGUGAUGAUGUGGACCCAACACUGCUCCUAUGGGGUCCCGUGGGGUCCUAUGGGGUCCUGUGGGGGUCCUAUGGGGGUCCUAUGGGGUUCUAUGGGGUCCUAUGGGGUUCUAUGGGGUCCUAUGGGGGUCCUAUGGGGGUCCUAUGGGGUUUAUGGACCCAACACUGCUCCUAUGGGGUCCUAUGGGGUUCUAUGGGGUUCUAUAGGGUCCUAUGGGGUCCUAUAGGGUUCUAUGGGGUCCUGUGGGGUCCUAUAGGGUUCUAUGGGGUUCUAUGGGGUCCUGUGGAGUUCUAUGGGGUCCUAUAGGGUCCUGUGGGGUCCCGUUGGGGUCCUAUAGGGUCCUGUGGGGACCUAUGGGGUUCUAUAGGGUCCCAUGGGGUCCCUAUGGGGUUUAUAUGGGACCAGGGGUGAUGAUGUGGACCCAACAUGCGGCUGCAGCGCUUCGCGGAGCUGCUCAACUGCCAGCACAGCAAGCACAGCUGAGACCUAUGGGGUGCUGUGGGUCUAUGGGGUCCUAUGGGGUUCUAUGGGGUCCUGUGGGGUCCUAUAGGGUCCUAUGGGGUCCUAUGGGGGUCCUAUGGGGUUCUAUAGGGUCCUAUAGGGUUCUAUGGGGUCCUGUGGGGUCCUAUGGGGUUCUAUGGGGGUCCUAUGGGGUUCUGUGGGGGUCCCAUGGGGUUCUAUAGGGUCCUGUGGGGUCCUGUGGGGUUCUAUAGGGUCCCUAUGGGGGCCCUAUGGGGGUCCUAUGGGGUUCUGUGGGGUUCUAUAGGGUCCUAUGGGGUUCUAUAGGGUCCUAUGGGAUCCUCUGGGGUUCUAUAGGGUGCUGUGGGGGUCCUAUGGGCUUUAUAUGGGGUUUAUAUAGGACCAAGGGUACGUAUAUAGGACCAGGAGCAUCUAU
ensembl:lncRNA